rnacentral:lncRNA from 13 species
UCUCCCAGGCAGCACUCCUCACCGGAUUGCCCACUACACUAUUCCUUGCUCCUCAGGUACAUCCCACCUUCAUGGGUUUGCUCAGGCGUCCUUCCCCAAGAUGCCCAGACCCAGCCUCCUGUUCAAGGCCCAGCCUCAGUGCCACAUCCAGGAUGUCCUCCGUGAGUCACUCCUUCCAGAAGUAACAUCUCUCCUCCAAACUCCCUCUACAUGCUUUAUAGUAUAGAACUGAGAGGUGACAGGACCUCAGAGGCCGUACAUGAAGCCUCUCACUUAUCAUUCAAAAACUGUGCACAAAGUAGCUUAUAUGCAAAUACUACCCCAGGAGGUUGUGCAUGUUAAUUUCACCUGAAAAGGGGCAUGAACUCUGGACCCUCCAACUAAAAGGCUGAUUCUCUGUGAAACAGCUGCCCUGAUGUCAUAUCCCUAUGCCCACAUCCUUGAUAAAACGAUUCUUUGGUACCUGCUGUUUUCUUCCAGAGACAAGGAACCCACUACUUCAUGAGUUAGGUUCUUCCUCUUGACCUCUGACCACCCUGGGACUCCCACAGAUCAGCCCUUUCUGUUCUCUGGAGUCACACAGAACGAAUUCCUUUGAGACUCCUGGUGUCCUCCACAGAGCCAAACAGGGCAGGUUCCCAAGCACACUAUGUAAACAGAUAAAUGAACUCAGAGGGCUUUCCCACGUGGCAGGGUACAUUGCUGCAUCCCAUGCAUUCAUGAGUGCGCGCGCACACACGUGGGCCGAGUAAGCACCAGGCUGCUGAGCCACACAGCCAGCGGAAGCAAAGCCCCAGCAGCGGCCCACUUCCUGACCUCCUUCCUUUGCUCUGGGAGGUUCUCUCUCUGUGUGUCUUUCUGACUGCCUGUCUCGGUUCUUUGUUUCUAGCAUGGCAACAGCUGUGGAUGCUGCCUGCGUGGCCAGGGGUCCUAGCAGCACUGACCUGCAAGGCCCCUCUGAAGCAUCACCUUCUUGGAGAACCCUUCCCCGGACACUGCCCCUGCCGAGUGCUGCGGUUCUUCCCUGGUAAGCCCAUCUUUCUGGAGCGGUGUAUGUAGUAAUAUCUCCCUCACACACACGCUAAGCCGUGUUCCAAGGUAGAGAGAAACAAAUUAGUACUUACCGAGCAGCUGUUAUAAAUUGCUGAGUGGAGUCCUUUCUUCUCCUUGCAGCCCAGCCAGCCACUAGCCCACAACUGCCCUCCACCCAACCAGAGUUUGAGAAGGCUGUCAAGGGCUCUGAGGCCUGCCCUCUGGUGCGUCCCCACUGUGUGCCUUGGGGAUCAGCACACAGUGGGGCUCGGUUCUGGGUAUACUUUUCCCG